rnacentral:misc_RNA from 1 species
GUUUUCGCUUUAAAUUUUGUGCAUACAUCACUUGAGUUUAAAAAGGGCCAAUUCACAGGGUGAGAAGGUGACGCUUCAAAGAGAAGCAAUUCACUAAUGAUCCUUCCGCAGGUUCACCUACGGAAA